CCUACGGGAGGCAGCAGUGGGGGAUAUUGCACAAUGGAGGAAACUCUGAUGCAGCGACGCCGCGUGAGGGAAGACGGUCUUCGGAUUGUAAACCUCUGUCUUUGGGGAAGAAAAUGACGGUACCCAAAGAGGAAGCUCCGGCUAACUACGUGCCAGCAGCCGCGGUAAUACGUAGGUGGCAAGCGUUGUCCGGAUUUAUUGGGCGUAAAGCGAGUGCAGGCGGUUCAAUAAGUCUGAUGUGAAAGCCUUCGGCUCAACCGGAGAAUUGCAUCAGAAACUGUUGAUCUUGAGUACUGGAGAGGCAGACGGAAUUCCUAGUGUAGCGGUGAAAUGCGUAGAUAUUAGGAGGAACACCAGUGGCGAAGGCGGUCUGCUGGACAGCAACUGACGGUGAGGCGCGAAAGCGUGGGGAGCAAACAGGAUUAGAUACCCGAGUAGUC
rnacentral:rRNA from 1 species